AGCAAUACUCCCGACUGGUUUUCUCCAUAAUAUUCAACUUUUGCUGUCUAAACACACUCUUCUCCACUCCAAAUUCCUCCUAAGACUUCAAGUUCUCCAAAUGGCCCCAAGACCAAGAAUUUGCAAAAGACAAAGGGGGGAAACAUCUCAAGCAAGGGAACAACCUCAAGCUGCACAGUUUUAAAUUUUUAACACCCCUGUGGCUCGAGACAGAUAUCAAACAUGGAUCUCCAAGAAGCAAAUCAAAUCGGAGAAGGGGUUGGAAAUUGUGGUACCCGAAGCAUAGAACUCGGGGAAUAGAUUUUUGGCUCAAUCGGGCGAUGCAUUUGACUCAAUAGUGCGUGAAUUUUAUGCAAAUGCCAAAGAUAGAAUGCAGACAAAUCAAUGCAUCGUUAGGGGUGUAAGAGUAGAUUUUUCUCCUGCGACUAUCAACGCUUACUAUGGCACAACCGAAGUAGUCAAUACCCUGUAAAAAAAUAAAAAUAAGAGAACAACUAGUCAAUAAUCUACAAGCCAUAUUACAACUUUCCCACCAAAUAAGCAUCAAAAGAAGUAGAACAAUAAUGUCUAGAAGCUAUACAUGAAGGCUAUUUAGGGAGGGAUUCCAACGGCGCAAUAGAAACCCUAUCAUGAAGGCUUGAAUGCUUGACUAAACAUCUAAUUUCGGUACACACCAUGAACAUAACACGAAACUUUAGUUGAUUCUCGGUGAUGGUGUUGGAGAAAAACAACAAAAGAAGAGAAAAAUAGAGAAAUUACCAAUGAUUCCUGAGCAGCAAAUUAACACUUGGAAACCUAGAAAAAGAUUUCCAUUGCUUGUAUGCCUGUUGUUUUCACCCGGUGGGGUUUGCCUAAACAAAGAGUAGACCCAAAAUGUGACUGUCACCUGAGCUUCAGCCUUUUAGACAAUCGGGUAGAGAGAAGAGAUAGAGGAAGGUGGUGUAUGGUUUUGGAAAUUUGGGGAUGAAUUGUGCGCCCAGGCACAGGGAAGAGACAACAUUUAAAAUUUUGGGAAGCAAAUUUGGGUAUGGCGCCAUUAGAUAAUUUUUUUUUUUGUAGUGUUAAUUAUUUUUAAGAGUUAAUUACUGAUUUGAUCCUUCGACUAUGAGAAUUUCAUCAGGUUGGUUCUUGACUUUUAAAAUUGUUCAAUUGCAUCCUUAACUAUGCAAACGUUAACCAAAAUGGUCCGGUAUGUGAGCCUUCAGCCCCCCCUUGGUGUAGCCGUGGCCCUGGUGAUCGAUGGCGCAUACAACGAACCCUUGUUUUGCGAUGUGCACGGCGGUGAGCUGGAUGAGCCAGUUGGAGUGGUGAUUUAGUGCUCACCCUUAGUGUUCUGAUUCUCUUGGUGGCAAGGUUACUCCCCGGGUGGAACACGCUCCUCCACACGUUCUCCUUACGCGUCCUCGGCGUUGUGGGGCUCGCCGGCAUCGUCAUCGACCUUUGGUACUUGCUGCUCGAUCCUUCCCAAGCUUUCACACUUGUUUGAACGGAAAGGGUUUUGCGAGCUUGUCGAGGACGGAUUUGGGCUGAGGUCUGGCCAUAACGUCAUCCCACAGCUUCUCUAGCAUCUUUCCUCUCUAUUUUUUCUAUGUUCUAAGCUCAAUUGUUUUUUCAUCUCAACUUUUAAUUUAUAGAUUUUGAGAUUAGGGGUUAGCUUUUAGGAUUUAGGGGCUUCUCUUUCUUUGUUCUGUAAAUGAAGCCAACAACUGAGAUGAAAAGGAACACCUGAGAAGGCAAAGCCAAUGAAAUUACAUUUCUAUCCUCA